UUGUUACUUAAACAAAACCCCAACAGAAUGCAAACGAUACUAAAGUGCUAUCGCUGGCCACUGAGAUAUUAUGCACACGUAACCACUGUGGAGUCGCCGGACGCCAAAGUAUUAAAUUGAUUAAUAAUUCAUUGAAAGGUUUUUUUUUUCAACUUCAGACUAUACUGCUGAAAGAAAUGGAAAAAACUUACGAGACACUUAUGGCCGUAAACUGCCAGAGUCGAUAUCUGGGGAUGUUGGUGAUGACAGUUUUGCUACAGGUCGUAUUUCAGCAUUUUACGGUUUUUAAAGCAACAAAUGAAGCCCAAAAAGUACAGUGGCAACCACAAGCCGGGUUCACACGGAACUGUAAUGUGCGUACUUCGCAGUCGUCACUCUUCUUGAGGAAACAAAGCCAUUCGGAGUUUCUAACCUUGGAUUAAAAUUGCACAGUUUACUGGUGGAAUAUUCAAUGUAUACUAGACUAAGCAUUUGCAACACAAAUAAAUGUCAGGAAACGGGAUAGCAAAUAAUGCGGAUGAAAUGUACUGCGAUCUGGUACCAUCAACUGCCAACUAACCAGUUGUUCCCGUCCUAAAGGAUGAAAAUGUGCAACAGGAAAAGGAGCAAAACCUUGAUGAGCGAGGAUUUGAAAAAAAAACAUAUGAGACUGAUUCGGUCGAGGCUGCGAUUAAAUCUGUCUAUUUGCACGAGCAAUGUACGAGCACGAGCAAUGGAUGUAGGAAAU